rnacentral:rRNA from 1 species
AGACUUUGAUUAUGGCUCAGGACGAACGCUGGCGGCGUGCUUAACACAUGCAAGUCGAACGGUCUACCUCGACAGAAACCUUCGGGUUGAAGACGAGAUCUAGAUAGUGGCGGACGGGUGAGUAACACGUGAAUAAUCUAUCCUCAAGUUUGGGAUAACCUGGCGAAAGUCGGGCUAAUCCGAGGUAAGCUGAGAGUGUGGCAUCACACAAUCAGAAAAGGUGGCAUUGCCAUCGUUUGAGGAGGAGUUCGCGGUAGAUUAGCUAGCUGGUGAGGUAACGGCUCACCAGGGCAACAAUCUAUAGCUGGUCUGAGAGGACGAUCAGUCACACUGGAACUGAGACACGGUCCAGACUCCUACGGGAGGCAGCAGUGGGGAAUCUUCCACAAUGGGCGCAAGCCUGAUGGAGCAACGCCGCGUGAAUGAAGAAGGCCUUAGGGUCGUAAAGUUCUGUCCUUAGGGAAGAACCGUGGGUAUAGCAAAUGAUACCCACCCUGACGGUACCUUUGGAGGAAGCACUGGCUAACUACGUGCCAGCAGCCGCGGUAAUACGUAGAGUGC